UUACCGGCAUGACAAUAAGGCUCAUUAUUUUCAGAAGCUUGUAACUAUGCAGGAGAAUUUAUAUGUACUUCUGUGUGAUGAAGAAUUGGAUGCAGUCUCUUUGGAAGCUGUGCACCAACAAAAGAUGAAGAAUAGACAAGCCCACUCUUCAUCAGAGGGCCCAAACUGUGACAAAGAAUGUCAUAAGUGCAGCGAAGUGAUUUGCAUUUUAUGCAGUGAAACCAGGUGUGCGAAACAACUAGUACAUCAGAAAAUUCAGCAAUCCAGAAUUCCGGUUUUUCAGAAAAGGGCAAGAGCAGGGCCAGAGAGAGGACUAAAAUAAUGAAGACCAGAACUAGACAAGUUAUCAAGACGUACUAAUUCCUUAGUUGAUAAAGAACCUGUGCAAGAGACAGUGAUACAUCAGAGAGAGAAAAACAUUAAGCACUGAGAGGGGACAAACUGAUGGAUUCCAUGGCAAA